ensembl:snoRNA SNORD24 Small nucleolar RNA SNORD24
UGCAAGUGAUGCAAGAGUCUGCUCCCUGGAAGACGGUGAUGACAUUUUAAACCACCAAGAUCGCUGAUGCA